rnacentral:rRNA from 1 species
GAUGAACGCUGGCGGCGUGCCUAAUACGUGCAAGUCGAGCGAAUGGAUUAAGAGCUUGCUCUUAUGAAGUUAGCGGCGGACGGGUGAGUAACACGUGGGUAACCUGCCCAUAAGACUGGGAUAACUCCGGGAAACCGGGGCUAAUACCGGAUAACAUUUUGAACCGCAUGGUUCGAAAUUGAAGGGCGGCUUCGGCUGUCACUUAUGGAUGGACCCGCGUCGCAUUAGCUAGUUGGUGAGGUAACGGCUCACCAAGGCAACGAUGCGUAGCCGACCUGAGAGGGUGAUCGGCCACACUGGGACUGAGACACGGCCCAGACGCCUACGGGAGGCAGCAGUAGGGAAUCUUCCGCAAUGGACGAAAGUCUGACGGAGCAACGCCGCGUGAGUGAUGAAGGCUUUCGGGUCGUAAAACUCUGUUGUUAGGGAAGAACAAGUGCUAGUUGAAUAAGCUGGCACCCUGACGGUACCUAACCAGAAAGCCACGGCUAACUACGUGCCAGCCGCCGCGGUA